GGGCAGUAAGAGCUGCAGCGUGGGGACAGGACCCGUGGGCAGUAAGAGCUGCAGGCAUGGGGACAGGACCCGUGGGCAGGAAGAGCUGCAGCGUGGGGACAGGACCCGUGGGCAGUAAGAGCUGCAGGCAUGGGGACAGGACCCGUGGGCAGUAAGAGCUGCAAUGGGUUGAGGGUAGGGCUAAAUUUAUAAGGCAUAGGUCUAUGAGUUACUUCUUUGCAAGACAAAGGAACGAUCAAGUACAAAAGUCGCUAAAAUGAUAUCAGUGCAGGUGGGGUGUGGUUAUCGAGUGGUCCUGUAACUUUGGAUAGGAAUCAGGUCGCAUCAGGUCAGGACGUCCUGUGCUUCCCGGAGGAUGAUACAGAUCGGUAUGCAGGGCAGGACGCCUUGGCCUUCUCUCCCUGGGGCAGCCUUGAUCUUCAUCAUUAUCACUUGUAUGACCCUGGGCAAAAUAUUUAAGUUCUCUGAAACCUGUUUCCUCCUCCAAGAGGUGGAGAUAAUAUGUACCCCACACAGUUUCAGUGAAGAAUUGGCAUCCAGAACACUGAGCUGCCCUCGCCUCCCAGACCGCGAGCCUGAGUCGGCCGCUGCCCUGCACCGUGGUCCCCCAGCUCCCGAAACUGUGCUGGGAAACCCCGUUUCGCCAAGAAUGGCUAAAGCAGUGCUGCCACUGAUGAGAUCUGUUCCACGGAGACCCUCGGCCCCAGCCCUGAGGCCUGCUGGCCUGGGAGCACCCUCUCCCCAUCCUACCUCGGAAUCUUUUCGGGCAUCUCCCUUGCCUGCGGAGGAGGUAUGGGGCUUUGGAAUCGGGGACUCAGGCCCCACACUGGACUCUACCGGUGACCUCGGGACAGCCUCAGUGUCCUUGUCCCUGAAGUGGGACGCCAGUGGCCUCCUGCCAGGGUGGCUGUGAAGAGCCCAUCAGGGACUGCAGAGAGCGUCCGUCUGCACCUCCUCCAUUGAACUCUGGACUGGGCCACUGCCCUCCUUGUCUCCUUUCCAAAUCACUUCUGUCAUGGUCCCAGCAGGAAACAGAUGGCACGCGCAAACGAUUUUCUGGAAGGACUUUGGCAAAGGGACUGUUGACAGGCGUGAGAGCGGGGUUAAGAGAGUCGACAAGGGAGGCGGCACCCCAGAAACAGAGACCGACUGUCCAAGGGCCCCGGGGUGGUCAGCAGGCGCCCAAGCCGGACCCCGCUUCACAUAGGAAGUCACAGCCAUUGACGGGCAUUUUCCACCUGCCAUACAAUGUCUUUAGAGAAUGCACAGGCUGCUUCGGGACCGCCAUUCGCAGCUCUUGUGCGCACUGAGGGACCUGAAUGUCAGCUCAGACUUGGUGCGCCGAAGGCUUUUCCAGGGGGAGCGAGUGCCCACCCGGCAUCGCACCCUGGUGUCUCCCCACGGGCUGUGAGGAAUACACGUGACCGUGUGCAUGGAAGUGCCCGGCAGCGUGUUCGGAAGGAGCAGGGGCUGUGCCCGCAUACAGGAAGUGCUUAAUCAAUGUGGAGAGCAAACAAGCAGGUUCUUUGCUGAGGGGAGAGGGAGACAUGAAGGUGAGAAGGAAAAAGAUGGCUCCCGGUGGGAUGAACCAAGGAUGCUGUAUGUUUGGUUGCUGUGACCCAUGGCCACAGACGUGGUGACUUAUUACAGCCCACAGUCAUUCUCGCCCAACUCCGGAGGGCAGACGUCAGCCGUCGGUUUCACGGACCCAAAUCGAGGGCUGGCCAAGGCUGUGCUCUCUCUUGGAGCCACUCGGGGAAUCACGUCCCUGGCCAUCUCCGGCUUCUGCAGCUGCAGUCGUUGGCUCCUGGCCCCGUCCUCCAGCUUCAACAUCAGCGGGUGGCCCCCCUCCCUCCAGGCCCUGGGCUGCGGGCAAAGGAGGGGGCCCUCAGGGCCGCACUGCCCGGCCACCAGCCCUGGGGAACCUGCCGGCUGUUUUCUAACAAUUAGUGGGAGAAAGACCUCAUCCAAGCACACCCAGGGCGGCCGUUUCUCCUGGCAGUACUUUCCGGUUUGGCUCCAAAAGAAAAUAAAAACGUGAUGUUUAGUAAUCCCUUCAAAAUCGCUUGUCUAUUUUGAAGCUUCAUUAAUUAACACCAAAUACCAUUAUUUAUUAAAUUCUUGUGAUUCAUUCUAUUUUUGAAAAUUCAGCGUUGGACGCGGGAGCCCUUAUGUCUAAGUGGCCUGGCGUGAGGCUGACGGACAGUGAGCAGAUGAGGAAGCACGUUCUAGAGAGACGUGUGGGUUCACUGUGUCGCGGUCGCUCAGACUCGGGCCCGUGGUCAGUAAUGGGUGAGCAGCCCCAGCCCCAGCAUGUGACUUGCCCACACCCUCCGGGGGGCACAGACGCCCUGGAGAGGGGACACCCUGCAGACGAUGUUGACCCUGGGCCCACCCCACACGUCCCGUGUGUUGCAGGGCCCCAUGCCCCAGCCCUGGCUGCCAAGCCCCUGAAGGCCCUCG
rnacentral:lncRNA from 1 species